CGCGGUGAAUACGUUCCCGGGCCUUGUACACACCGCCCGUCAAGCCAUGGAAGCUGGGGGUACCCGAAGCCGCCUUUAAAAAGCGUCUAAGGUAAAACCAGUGACUGGGGCU
rnacentral:rRNA from 1 species